GCGGUCGUGGCGGAAUGGUAGACGCGCUAGGUUGAGGGCCUAGUGGUGGCAACACUGUGGAGGUUCAAGUCCUCUCGACCGCA
rfam:Exiguobacterium sibiricum 255-15, complete genome.